GUCUCCAGAGGAGCUGUCAAGGCUCUUCAGUGCUUCCUUGGGAACAGUUCCCGAUCCAGCCCCAGAUCGGGAUCCACCCUGUGAUUUACACCCCCAUUCUUUCCACUGCUGAUGUAUCUCUUCGAUUCUUGGUUCUAGGAAAGCUUCUGCAUCACCAGAGGUGGGGGACACUGGCAGAGGGCACAUUUCCUCCCUGGUGUCACAUCCAAAGUGACACCGUGGUGGGGAGGGUUGGUGAGCUCCACGUGAACUGAGGGAGCACCAGUGUGCUGAGGAGCGGCUGAGGGAGCUGGGAAGGGGCUGGAGAAUUCCUGAGGGAGCUGGGAAGGGGCUGGAGAAUUCCUGAGGGAGCUGGGAAGGGGCUGGAGAAUUCCUGAGGGAGCUGGGAAGGGGUUGGAGAGUUCCUGAGGGAGCUGGGAAGGGGCUGGAGAGUUCCUGAGGGAGCUGGGAAGGGGCUCAGCCUGGAGCAAAGGAGGCUCAGGGGGGACCUUGUGGCUCUGCACAGCUCCUGCCAGGAGGGGACAGCCGGGGGGUCGGGCUGGGAACAGGGAACAGGGACAGGAGGAGAGGGAACGGCCUCAGGGGAGCCUCGGGGUGGGCACUGGGGAAAUUCCUCAUGGGAAGGGCAGGGGUGGAGUCCCCAUCCCCAGAGGGAUUUCAAAGCCCUGUGGAUGUGGCAUUUGGGGACACAGUGAGUGGUGGCAGGGCUGGGGAAUGCUUGGACUCCGUGUUCCUAAAGGUCUUUUCCAACCUUAAUGACUCUGAGCUUUCACCAGGCUCUCCUUGCUCCGCCUGUGUCGUUCCAGUCCUGGAGCCUCAUUCCGGGGAGUUCUUUUAUCCCCUUUCAUUCCAUUAAGUGACAGUGGAGCUGUCCCUGCCCUUGGCAGGCAGGUUGGAGCCAGAUGAUCGUUGGGGUCCCUUCCAAGCCCUCCCAUUCCACGACUGCACGUUAUUGAAACCAGCAGCGUUCCACCUGCACAAGCAGCGCUGAGGGAGGCCCGGGCGUGCUCACACGACUGGAGAGUUUGAUUUCUGUCUCCGAAGGUGAAACAACACAAGCAAAGGCAGGCGGUGUCACAAUCACACCUCGGCGGUGUCACAGUCCGGGAUUCCUGCUCUCCAUCCCGCUGUGGCAUUCCCGUGCAAGGACAGCACCUGAUAAGGUGUGGUGGGAACGGGACAUUGCGGCGCUGUUUUCCCCAAAAAACUGAUAACAGGAACAACCAGCUGCAGCCAGGAGACCUUGGCACCCAGGGGCGUUCCUGCAGGACAUCCUGCCGCUGUUUUUGGAGGAAGAUCCGCCGUGUCCUUGGCUCCCGCAGCUCACGGGGAUGCACCGCAGCCGCCAGGAGCCAGCUGAAGGGCGGAGCGGUGUCUGCAGGAAGGAGCUUCCCUCUGCCGGGGAAGAGGUGUGCUCAUGUCCUGGCAAACAAUUCCGGGGGGACACCAUGGCUGGGAGCGGCUUUGAGAUGGGGCUUAAUGUCUCUAGCGACCUUGGGCAGCAGAGCCCGGACAUGCUGGCUCCUGAAACAGACGGGGCUGCGCGAGCGGGAGUUUCCGAACUUUGGGGUAAAAUGCCAGGUUCGAGGGGGGAUAGGGAGCAGGCGGCUGGGGAAGGCUGCACCUUCCUCAGCAACGGGGAAAGGAAGAGUUUGGGAUAAAAGGGAGCCCGUGCCCCCCGAAACCUCGAGAGAGAAAACCCCGCGGGCUGUGCCGGGUGACCUCUCCCUUUAUCCGAAUAAAGCUGCGGGACUCCUCUGUCUCCUUUAUGGA